rnacentral:rRNA from 1 species
AUUGAACGCUGGCGGCAGGCCUAACACAUGCAAGUCGAACGAGUGGGGGACGGGUGAGUAAGGUCUGGGCAUCUGCCCGAUGGAGGGGGAUAACUACUGGAAACGGUAGCUGAUACCGCAUUCCAUCGCAUAUGCCCAGAUAGGAUUAGCUAGUAGGUGGGGUAACGGCUCACCAAGGCGCCGAUCCCGAGCUGGUCUUAGAGGAUGACCAGCCACACUGGAACGGAGACACGGUCCCGACGCCUACGGGAGGCAGCAGUGGGAAAUAUUGCACAAUGGGCGCAAGCCUGAUGCAGCCAUGCCGCGUGUAUGAAGAAGGCCUUCGGUUUGUAAAGUACUGUCAGCUAGGAGGCGUUACUCACAGAAGAAGCACCGGCUAACUUCGUGCCAGCAGCCGCGGUAAUAC